UUUCCGUAGGUGAACCUGCGGAAGGAUCAUUAUUGUGAACCGGGGCGGCGCAAGCCGUCCCAUCCCACACACCUCUGUGAACAACCCCGUCGGCGGCGCAAGCCGUCGGCAACCUUUGCAACUGGCGUCCUACGUCUAGAAAGUAAUAACAAAAGAGUACAACUCUCAACGAUGGAUCUCUUGGCUCUCGCAUCGAUGAAGAACGCAGC
rnacentral:misc_RNA from 1 species